rnacentral:rRNA from 1 species
UACAGAGGGGGCAAGCGUUGUUCGGAAUUACUGGGCGUAAAGGGCGCGUAGGCGGCCUGCUAAGUCGAACGUGAAAUCCCCGGGCUCAACUGGGGAGGGUCACUCGAUACUGAUCGACUUGAAGGCGGGAGAGGGAAGCGGAAUUCCCGGUGUAGUGGUGAAAUGCGUAGAUAUCGGGAGGAACACCAGUGGCGAAGGCGGCUUUCUGGCCCGUUCUUGACGCUGAGGCGCGAAAGCUAGGGUAGCAAACGGG